ACCGCGGUAGCUCAAUUGGUAAGAGCAUUGCACGAGGAAUGCGAAGAUGUGGGUUCGUAUCCCACGUGCGGCA
rnacentral:tRNA from 1 species